rnacentral:rRNA from 1 species
GGGGCAUGGGUCUAGGGUAUAAGCAUUAUACCGUGAAACUGCGAAUGGCUCAUUAAAUCAGUUAUCGUUUAUUUGAUAGUACCUUACUACUUGGAUAACCGUGGUAAUUCUAGAGCUAAUACAUGCUAAAAACCCCGACUUCGGGAGGGGUGUAUUUAUUAGAUAAAAAACCAAUGCCCUUCGGGGCUCCUUGGUGAAUCAUAAUAACUUAACGGAUCGCAUGGCCUUGCGCCGGCGACGGUUCAUUCAAAUUUCUGCCCUAUCAACUUUCGAUUGUAGGGUAUUGGCCUACAAUGGUAUCAACGGGUAACGGGGAAUUAGGGUUCGAUUCCGGAGAGGGAGCCUGAGAAACGGCUACCACAUCCAAGGAAGGCAGCAGGCGCGCAAAUUACCCAAUCCCGACACGGGGAGGUAGUGACAAUAAAUACUGAUACAGGGCUCUUUUGGGUCUUGUAAUUGGAAUGAGUACAAUUUAAAUCCCUUAACGAGGAACAAUUGGAGGGCAAGUCUGGUGCCAGCAGCCGCGGUAAUUCCAGCUCCAAUAGCGUAUAUUAAAGUUGUUGCAGUUAAAAAGCUCGUAGUUGAACCUUGGGUCUGGCUGGCCGGUCCGCCUCACCGCGUGCACUGGUCCGGCCGGACCUUUCCUUCUGGAGAACCGCAUGCCCUUCACUGGGUGUGCCGGGGAACCAGGACUUUUACUUUGAAAAAAUUAGAGUGUUCAAAGCAGGCCUUUGCUCGAAUACAUUAGCAUGGAAUAAUAGAAUAGGACGUGCGGUCCUAUUUUGUUGGUUUCUAGGACCGCCGUAAUGAUUAAUAGGGAUAGUCGGGGGCAUCAGUAUUCAAUUGUCAGAGGUGAAAUUCUUAGAUUUAUUGAAGACUAACUACUGCGAAAGCAUUUGCCAAGGAUGUUUUCAUUAAUCAGUGAACGAAAGUUAGGGGAUCGAAGACGAUCAGAUACCGUCGUAGUCUUAACCGUAAACUAUGCCGACUAGGGAUCGGGCGAUGUUAUUCUUUUGACUCGCUCGGCACCUUACGAGAAAUCAAAGUUUUUGGGUUCUGGGGGGGAGUAUGGUCGCAGCUGAACUAAGAGGUGUGUUUGUAGCCGCCGCGCGGCAUUUGUACAGUUGUGUCGGACGUGGCUCAUCAGUACGUAGAGGUGAGUACAUAAAUCACUC